rnacentral:rRNA from 1 species
AACGAACGCUGGCGGCGUGCUUAACACAUGCAAGUCGAACGGUGAAGCGCCUUCCUUUUUGGUGGGUGUGGAUGAGUGGCGAACGGGUGAGUAACACGUGAGUAACCUGCCCCCUUCUUCUGGAUAACCGCAUGAAAGUGUGGCUAAUACGGGAUAUUCUGGGUCUGUCGCAUGAUGGGUCUGGGAAAGAUAUUGUUUCGGUGGGGGAUGGGCUCGCGGCCUAUCAGCUUGUUGGUGGGGUGAUGGCCUACCAAGGCGGUGACGGGUAGCCGGCCUGAGAGGGUGGACGGUCACACUGGGACUGAGACACGGCCCAGACUCCUACGGGAGGCAGCAGUGGGGAAUAUUGCACAAUGGGCGCAAGCCUGAUGCAGCGACGCCGCGUGAGGGAUGGAGGCCUUCGGGUUGUGAACCUCUUUCGCCAGUGAAGCAGGCCUGCCUCGUUUGUGGGUGGGUUGACGGUAGCUGGAUAAGAAGCGCCGGCUAACUACGU